rnacentral:rRNA from 1 species
ACAGAUCGUUCAGAGUUUGAUCCUGGCUCAGAACGAACGCUGGCGGCGCGUCUUAAGCAUGCAAGUCGAACGGCAAGAUUAGUGCUUGCACUAAUCCUAGAGUGGCGGACUGGUGAGUAACACGUGGGUGACAUACCCUUCAGUUGGGGAUAGCUAUUAGAAAUAGUAGAUAAUACCGAAUACGACCGUAGUUGUUAGAGGACUACGAGGAAAGUAGCUAAGGCUAUGCUGAAGGAUUGGCCCGCGGCCCAUUAGCUAGUUGGUGUGGUAAAGGCAUACCAAGGCGAUGAUGGGUAUCCGGCCUGAGAGGGUGAUCGGACACAUUGGGACUGAGAUACGGCCCAG